GAACGACGACCAGACCUUAAUCAGAGUGAUGGUGAGUCGUAGUGAGGUGGACAUGUUGGAUAUCAGAGCUGAUUACAGACGCCUCUACACCAAGUCUCUGCAGUCUGCUAUACAGGGUUGAUACCUCUGGUGACUACCGUAAGGCCCUCCUCCUGCUCUGUGGCGGCAAUGACGCGUAACCGUGGCGAUGAUCCCUGAAGGAGCGAUACCCAGAGAGAACCUCCACUCUGACUGGCCCCUCUAGCUGUCAAUCACUCUCUGAGUCCUGUGUAACCCAAUAGGAGAGCUCUGCUGGCCACGGUGCAGCACUGUGAUAGGUUAUGAUAGGUUUAAUCCUGUGUGUAUCUGUAGCUAACAUCCUUAAAGCUUUACUCUGCUUCAUAUCUACAUCACUAAAGUCCUAAUAAUGCUGACAGUCAUGUUUUACUAUCAGUUAUAUAACAACUAAAGACUGGUCAUGUUUUUACUGUUUGUAAGACAAGACUGAAGACAUAAUAAACAUUUUGACAGCA